UAGCCGGUGAAGAUCCGGUCGCGGGAGGGGCCAAGCCUCCGCGUAGCUUGGAUACCUGCGUACGGUGAAAUCCGUGCGUAGAAGCGUAUCGAUAAAAGUACCUAUUAGAGACAGGGCGAGCAACCUGCCAGGCCGUAACAUGA
rfam:Paenibacillus popilliae ATCC 14706 DNA, contig: contig038.